UACGUAGGGGGCAAGCGUUGUCCGGAUUUAUUGGGCGUAAAGAGCGUGUAGGCGGCCUGAAAGGUCAGCUGUGAAAACUCGAGGCUUAACCUCGAGACGUCGGUUGAAACCAUCUGGCUAGAGUCCGGAAGAGGAGUGUGGAAUUCCCGGUGUAGCGGUGAAAUGCGCAGAUAUCGGGAAGAACACCCGUGGCGAAGGCGGCACUCUGGGACGGUACUG
rnacentral:rRNA from 1 species